GAUGAACGCUGGCGGCGUGCCUAAUACAUGCAAGUCGAGCGAACAGACGAGGAGCUUGCUCCUCUGACGUUAGCGGCGGACGGGUGAGUAACACGUGGAUAACCUACCUAUAAGACUGGGAUAACUUCGGGAAACCGGAGCUAAUACCGGAUAAUAUAUUGAACCGCAUGGUUCAAUAGUGAAAGACGGUUUUGCUGUCACUUAUAGAUGGAUCCGCGCCGCAUUAGCUAGUUGGUAAGGUAACGGCUUACCAAGGCAACGAUGCGUAGCCGACCUGAGAGGGUGAUCGGCCACACUGGAACUGAGACACGGUCCAGACUCCUACGGGAGGCAGCAGUAGGGAAUCUUCCGCAAUGGGCGAAAGCCUGACGGAGCAACGCCGCGUGAGUGAUGAAGGUCUUCGGAUCGUAAAACUCUGUUAUUAGGGAAGAACAAAUGUGUAAGUAACGAUGCACGUCUGGACGGUACCUAAGCAGAAAGCCACGGCUAACUACGG
rnacentral:rRNA from 1 species